rnacentral:rRNA from 1 species
CCCUUAGAUGUUCUGGGCCGCACGCGCGCUACACUGACGAAUUCAACGAGUUUAUAACCUUUGCUGGGAGGCAUGGGUAAUCUUGUGAACGUUCGUCGUGAUGGGGAUAGAUUAUUGCAAUUGUUAAUCUUCGACGAGGAAUUCCUAGUAAACGCAAGUCAUCAGCUUGCAUUGAUUACGUCCCUGCCCUUUGUACACACCGCCCGUCGCACCUACCGAUUGAAUGGUCCGGUGAAUUCUUCGGACUGCGGCUUUGACUCGAUUUCGGUCGAGGCGUUGCUGCGGGAAGUUGAUUAAACCUUACCAUUUAGAGGAAGGUGAAGUCGUAACA